UGAAAUGAAACCGGAUGUGUGAAUCUUGACAAAGCAAGAAACUGAAGAUUCUUUUUUUAACGAGGCUGUACUUAGGCUAGAACAUGAUGAACAUGAUCACAUGUUUGAAACCGAACUAAAUAAGGGAACUAGACGUGGUAAGCUUGCCAAAUGAACUAUUCAAUGAGCUACAUAAUAUUGGGUACUUUUCUUUUGAUUUUGUCUCCCUCUUUCGGAUGAUGUACACUCCGUCUGUCUCGGAUGACAGAGAUAAUGAGACUUGAGACAACAGAUGCGAGUGCUUUCUAAGGUUUGAUUGGUAAGGAUAAGUACACUUCACGAGGAGCUAAGAUCAAUUCUAUUUGUAAUCAAGUCUUGCGUAUUGGUAUAAAGAUCAUCACCAAUGUCAAAACAUUGUUUAUACCAAUACGCAAGACUCGAUUGCGAAUAGAAGUGAUCAUAGCUCUUCGUGAAAUGUCUAUCAAUUGCAUCUUUGUCUCAAAUCUUGGGAAGGAAAUGUAGAGAUGUUUGAGAUAAUGGGACUUGGGACAACUUGAAGAUGGGAAGCAUCUGUUUAGUGGCUUCCCAUCUUCCUAGGCUUGUUCUUGCAGAUUCUCUUUUCCUCGGUGUCUUCUCUUGUUCUCUUGGUUUUUGCUACAUUAACCAAAACAUUCCAAUCUUAGCAAAUAUGGUUCGCAAAGUGAAAGUAAGAGACAACUUAAUCCCAAUUUUCGUUUUUGCUCUAAACCCAUAAGAAAACCCAACUCUAAAUUUCUUAUUAACCUAACGAUUAAGCACAUAUUGGACAUAUGAGGAUGUAAGGUUGAGCUAUAAGAUAGCCAUUAAACUUCAUCAUAGCACAAGAACUAGCAAACAAAGCCAUUAAAAUCGGAUUCCCUUAUCAAUUUAUAAAGCAUGGCCGAUUUAGCAUAGUGGUGAAAAAUCAAACUCUCAAGUUGCAAAUAAAAUAGCAAUUAAGCAUCAUAAUAAACAAGCUUCCUAACCUAGUCUAGACUUAGAGAACCAAGCACUAAUUCAUCAUGCAACAACACAAAGAAAUUAAAAAAACUUAAGAAUUUAGAUCAAACCACUUAAGAAUUUCGGACUCGUAUCUUUGCAGAUCGAAUCUAAAUAUGCUAAAGAACUGUUUAACCAGCGAUUAGAGAUAAGAUCAUAUAAAUACAAAUUCCAUGUGUAUACUUACUUGGAAAAAUCCCAAAGUUUCAAACUUUUUGCAUUCCACCGUUCAAAAACGCUUCCUCACUUUUCCGGCACUAUGUAACCCGAGAUCUGUAAAAACGUAAACGCAUAGAAGAAUCAAAACAGAGUAUAACGAGAAAGAGAUUUCGAGUCUAUAGGAAGAAAAAACAUUAAAAACCCAGAAAGCGUUAAGAAUCUCAUAUGAUAAAAGGAGAAGCUUUUGAUUUCGAACUUACUUUGAAACUUUUCUUCUUUUGAAAUUUGAAUGAUGAUUUGAUUUGUUACAGUGACGAACAAAAACAGAGACUUUUUUUUUUGCACAACAAGAACAAAAAACAGAGACUUUUGAAUUUGAAUUGUUU
rnacentral:lncRNA from 1 species